GAUGAACGCUGGCGGCGUGCCUAAUACAUGCAAGUCGAGCGAACAGAUGAGGAGCUUGCUCCUCUGACGUUAGCGGCGGACGGGUGAGUAACACGUGGAUAACCUACCUAUAAGACUGGGAUAACUUCGGGAAACCGGAGCUAAUACCGGAUAAUAUAUUGAACCGCAUGGUUCAAUAGUGAAAGACGGUUUUGCUGUCACUUAUAGAUGGAUCCGCGCCGCAUUAGCCAGUUGGUAAGGUAACGGCUUACCAAGGCAACGAUGCGUAGCCGACCUGAGAGGGUGAUCUGCCACACUGGAACUGAGACACGGUCCAGACUCCUACGGGAGGCAGCAGUAGGGAAUCUUCCGCAAUGGGCGAAAGCCUGACGGAGCAACGCCGCGUGAGUGAUGAAGGUCUUCGGAUCGUAAAACUCUGUUAUUAGGGAUGAACAAAUGUGUAAGUAACUAUGCACGUCUUGACGGUACCUAAUCAGAAAGCCACGGCUAACUACGUG
rnacentral:rRNA from 1 species